UACGGGGGGGGCAAGCGUGGUUCGGAAUUACGGGGGGUAAAGGGCGCGUAGGCGGCUUUUCAAGUCGGGCGUGAAAUCUCCGGGCUUAACCCGGAAGGGUCGUUCGAUACUGUUGAGCUAGAGUGUGGAAGAGGCAACUAGAAUUCCGUGUGUAGCGGUGAAAUGCGUAGAUAUACGGAGGAAUACCUGAGGCGAAGGCGGGUUGCUGGGCCAACACUGACGCUGAGGCGCGAAAGCCAGGGGAGCAAACGGG
rnacentral:rRNA from 1 species